UACGAAGGGGGCUAGCGUUGUUCGGAAUCACUGGGCUUAAAGGGCGCGUAGGCGGCUUCGCAAGUCAGGGGUGAAAUCUUUCGGCUCAACCGGAAAAGUGCCUCUGAUACUGCGGAGCUCGAGGGAGGUGAGGGGCAGGACGGAACUUCCGGUGGAGCGGUGAAAUGCGUUGAUAUCGGAAGGAACGCCGGUGGCGAAAGCGGUCUGCUGGCCCUCUACUGACGCUGAGGCGCGAAAGCCAGGGAGCAAAGCGGG
rnacentral:rRNA from 1 species